rnacentral:rRNA from 1 species
UAUGGCUCAGGAUGAACGCUGGCGGCGUGCCUAACACAUGCAAGUCGAACGAAGCACUUCUGAUCGGAGAUUCGUCGAAGAUUGGAUUGACUUAGUGGCGGACGGGUGAGUAAUGUAUGAGCAACCUGCCUUUCAGAGGGGGACAACAGUUGGAAACGACUGCUAAUACCGCAUAAUGUAUAUAGAGGGCAUCCUCGGUAUACCAAAGGAGCAAUCCGCUGAAAGAUGGGCUCAUAUCUGAUUAGUUAGUUGGCAGGGUAAUGGCCUACCAAGACUGCGAUCAGUAGCCGGACUGAGAGGUUGAACGGCCACAUUGGGACUGAGAUACGGCCCAGACUCCUACGGGAGGCAGCAGUGGGGAAUAUUGGGCAAUGGGCGAAAGCCUCGACCCAGCAACGCCGCGUGAAGGAAGAAGGUCUUCGGAUUGUAAACUUCUUUUAUGAGGGACGAAGGACGUGACGGUACCUCAUGAAUAAGCCACGGCUAACUACGUGCCAGCCGCGGC